AUACGUAGGGAGCGAGCGUUGUCCGGAAUUACUGGGUGUAAAGGGAGCGUAGGCGGGAGUGCAAGUCAGAUGUGAAAUACAUGGGCUCAACCCAUGGGCUGCAUUUGAAACUGCAUUUCUUGAGUGAAGUAGAGGUAAGCGGAAUUCCUGGUGUAGCGGUGAAAUGCGUAGAUAUCAGGAGGAACACCGGUGGCGAAGGCGGCUUACUGGGCUUUUACUGGCGCUGAGGCUCGAAAGCGUGGGGAGCAAACAGGAUUAGAUACCCUGGUAGUCCACGCUGUAAACGAUGAUUACUAGGUGUGGGGGGACUGACCCCUUCCGUGCCGCAGUUAACACAAUAAGUAAUCCACCUGGGGAGUACGGCCGCAAGGUUGAAACUCAAAUGAAUUGACGGGG
rnacentral:rRNA from 1 species